UACGUAGGGUGCGAGCGUUGUCCGGAAUUAUUGGGCGUAAAGAGCUCGUAGGCGGCUCGUUGCGUCGGCUGUGAAAACCCGCAGCUCAACUGUGGGCUUGCAGCUGAUACGGGCGGGCUGGGAUUCGGUAGGGGAGACUGGAAUUCCUGGUGUAGCGGUGAAAUGCGCAGAUAUCAGGAGGAACACCGGCGGCGAAGGCGGGUCUCUGGGCCGAUACUGACGCUGAGGAGCGAAAGCGUGGGGAGCGAACAGG
rnacentral:rRNA from 1 species